AGAGCCUUAGGUUAACGUUAGAGACCUGGGGCCUUCAAAGCCCCCAGCGGAGGUGAGAGCCCUCUAGACUCUG
rnacentral:tRNA from 1 species